CAGAUAGAGACAAGGGAUAUUUGACUUCUUAUCUCUGUUGUCCAGCACAAUGUCCAGAACACAACAGAUAUUCCAUAUGCACAGUCACAUGCUAUGUAUGUGUAUUUUCUUUCCAGAAAGGACUAGAGGUCCUAAGCUUUGUUAAUAUCAUGAGCCAGUGCCCACAUGAGCAGGAGAAUUUUAGCACAGUCACCUACACACUCAUUUCGAUGCUCUGACCCCUUAUCCAAGCCAGUCAAAGUGUGGUCUAUGGUUUUGCAUUUUAAAGAGAUCCCUGGGUGAAUCUUGUGCAUGUUACAGGGAAGCACUGUCCUACAUCCUAUGUGACAGGCUCUCAUAGUCACCAUCAUCAUGGGAAUCUUGCACAUGUUACAGGGAAGCACUGUCCUACAUCAUAUGUGACAGGCUCUCAUAGUCACCAUCAUCACGGGAAUCUUGCACAUGUUACAGGGAAGCACUGUCCUACAUCGUAUGUGACAGGCUCUCAUAAUCACCAUCAUCAUGUGAUCUUGUGCAUGUUACAGGGAAGCACUGUUCUACAUCGUAUCUGACAGGCUCUCAUAAUCACCAUCAUCACGGGAAUCUUGUGCAUGUUGCAGGGAAGCACUGUCCUACAUCGUAUGCGACAGGGUCUCAGAGUCACCAUCAUCGUGGGAAUCUUGUGCAUGUUACAGGGAAGCACUGUCCUACAUCAUAUGUGACAGGCUCUCAUAGUCACCAUCAUCACGGGAAGCUGCAUUUAGAGCAUUUAACUGUAUGGGCUCUGAAAUCAGAUGACUUAGGUUUGGGCUUGCCUCUACUUCUUACUAAGCAGAGAACUUUGGGGCAUGAUACUUAAUUUUACUAGGCUCAGUUUUAUCAUGUGUAAAUUGGAGGCAAGGGGAAAUUAUAGCAUUUUGCAUAGAAUAUUGUUUUAAGUAUGAA
rnacentral:lncRNA from 10 species